AAAGUUUCAAAAUGAGCUAUGUUUGUUGCCUCGUUAAAAAGAUGGUUAGGUUGUAACUUCCCUGAAGGCAAGGGCUGAUUGCCUCCGUAUUUUCUCCUAGCAUUUGGCAGAAUGCUUUGUAUGUAGCAGUUAUGGACAAAUGUCUGUUGAAUGGUGAAGGCAGUAUGUUAUUAUGGAAAGAACUCAGGUCUGGAGUCAAGGAACAUGGGUUUAAAGCCUUCCUCUGAUGUUUGGGGCCUUUGUGACUUUGGUGUUUUGUCUUUUAGACCAUGCCCCGAUGAGCUGUAUCAUGACUGUGGCUGAGUAUGUACGGUGUUGUAGGACAAAAGACCAAAGCCAGUUCUUACUCAGUUGGAAGUCAAAAGAAUCAGGUGUAUUUUGCAGCAAGCUGAAAUUGGGAGCCAAGGCUGUGGAGGUAAGGGACUGAAUGGCCUGAGAAGGAAAGAAGAUUAGAAGCAAAGUCUAGGAUUAGGAGCAAAUCAAAAGAAAGGGCAGCCGCAUUCUACUGGGCUGAGCUGGGAAUGUUGUCGCUGGGUCUCUGAUGCUGAACAUAUGGUCACAGGCAAGGCAAAGGAAACAGGAGAACAAAGCACUGAACUGGAGAGUCUGACAGGGCUGGAGUCAAUCUGGCCUACGGAGACAGAAGAAGCAGGAUAAGCUGACACCAUCCUUUCCUCUCAAAAGAAGCAAAGAAACUGAACAGACAUCAUGGAGUAGUGGAUUGGGAGCUGACCUCAGAAACAAGACCUCAUUGCAAGUCUUACUUUUGACCUUUUCUGGCUAAUGCGACCUUGGAAAAGCCACUUAACCCUUCAAUAGCCCAGGAGCCUCUCUGACACUAUAAGGGGGUAGAGAAGAUGCCACCCUUCAUUGGUAGAGGGAGUUUCUUCACAGGGGAGCUCCUUAUAUCAAUAAAAUUACAGGUCCACAGAAAUUUUAUUGGCGUCCUUUUUUUUACCCCGUCUAUUACUUUCUACUAACUUAUCUCCUUCCUAACCUCUCUUUUCUUAAAAACUUCGAGUUCUUACAUUUUGACUACUUGUCUCUUAGGGAAUACAAUAAUGAAUACUUUCCCUAGUUGUGAUUCUAGGUUAACUGAAUACCAACAUAAUCUGGUUCUAAUUUGAUAUUGUCUAAUCUAUUCCACUAAUCAAUUUUAAAAUUAUUUUAUGGUCUUGAUAAUAAUUGCUGAAAUUUGGGGUACAAUGCCCCCUCCCUCUUUUUCUUUUUCACUGUUAUCCCUAAUAUUCUUGACCUUUUUUUCCCUCCAUAUAAGUUUUGGUAUAACGUUUUGUCUAAUUUUAAAAAGUAUGCUAUUGGUAGUUUGAUUAGUAUAUUAUAAGCUUUACUCUAUUAGCUCAGCCUAAUGAAUAACCAAAUACCUCUCUAAGUUCUUUUUAAAGAAAUAAUUUUAUAGUUGCAUAAACUUUAUGCUGUUUGGGUUUGGGAAAUGAAAGCCAAAAUAAAAGGAAGAGGAGGUACUCCCUCCCUCCUCUGGCCCCCACCCUUGAAUUAGCAUUAUAAGGUUGGUCCAGACACUUCUUAUCCCUCCAACCAGGUACUCUUUCUACUCCUUAGACAUUGCCCUCAACUCUGACCCUGUGGAGUGCUCCUUCUGUGCAUACAUGGAGAGGGAUGGAAAUAAAGGAGGCAAUACGACCUAAAAUGCAUCUUAUAAGUUGUAUUACUAUUGUCAUUAUUUUUUAUAUAAAUUUGUAUUGGUUCUAUAAUUAAUUCUUUUGACUCACUUUUUCUUAUGUAAAUGAUUUUAGUUUCCAUUUAGGCCCUCACCUUUGAUCACAUUUACCUUGUUGAUUAUUAUUCUAAUUCUGUGAUAGUCUGUAAAUCAUUUAAGAUUUCAACAUUUUUGAAUUUAUUUAUAAGUUCUUUGUCUUUUGUUGUGAUUCUUUUUUAUAAUUCUUCCAUGCACAUUUGAAGCAAAAUUAUAUUAUCUGAUAAACUCUCCAUAUGGCAAAUCUAA